AUGGAGACGUAUCUGCCUGCGUUUCGGAGGCCUGACCCGCUGCCAGCACCCGUGAGCGGACCAGCCAUUGGCUCCUGGACAAGCACCCGCUUCUCCCACCUGCCUGCUCUCCAGCUCCGCCUGCUCUCAGGAACCUGCCCCACCACCACCCCCCCGCCCCCAGCCUGCUCCCUCCUCUUCAUCAACCCUCUGCUUCUUGCCCUUCUCUCCUUCUUCAGUUUCGACUCUGGGAUCUGUUAUCACCUUGCUCUGGCCAAUCCCUUUGUAUUUCCUAUGAAGUGGAGCCAGAAGCCAUCAGCCCUGGAGGGACACGAGCACCUCUUCCCCCUCAACCUGCAGGGAGAUGUGUUCCUGAGCACCAGGAUCAACAGGCCCCAACGCUGCCAGCGCCUGUGCUCCGUCUGUCCCUUCAGCUCGCUCUGCACCGCCCGUCUCCACGCUCACCUCUCCCGAGGGGACGGCUCUUAGGCCUCCUUCCAGC